CCUUUCGGCCACACCACCCUGAGCACAACCGCUCUCGUCUGAUCUGGGAAGCCAAGCAGGGUCGGGCCUGGUUAGUACUUGGAUGGGAGACCGCCUGGGAAUACCAGGUGCUGUAAGCAU
rnacentral:rRNA from 1 species